CAGCCAAGCACCCGUCUGCUGGUCGGGAUAUACACCAGCAAGAGCCCAUACAGCUGUUGUGACUAUCUCACAACAACCUCUGGUAAGCGAAUUUUAUACGCAUAUACAUCAAUAUUGUCAGCAGUACCACACAUGAGGCGCUGCUGGCUGUGAUUGCUG